rnacentral:rRNA from 1 species
CAGCCGCCACGGUAAUACGAGGGGGGCAAGCGUUGUUCGGAAUCACUGGGCGUAAAGGGAGCGUAGGCGGCGUGGUAAGUCAGAUGUGGAAUCCCGGGGCUCAACCCCGGAACUGCAUCCGAUACUGCCAUGCUAGAGGAUUGGAGAGGUAGCUGGAAUUCUUGGUGUAGCAGUGAAAUGCGUGGAGAUCAAGAGGAACACUCGUGGCGAAAGCGAGCUACUGGACAAUAACUGACGCUGAGGCUCGAAGGCCAGGGUAGCGAAAGGGAUUAGAUACCCGCGUAGUCCCUGUCUCUUAUAU